UCCGCAUAGGCUUUGCCAUGGUGCUCAUGCUGACGGUUUUUGCGGCCUGGAACGAUAUCAACUGGCUCUUCGGAUAGGGGCGGAGUCUUGGGCGGGAGCGGACAUCGUUAAGGAUUCGGGGAGCGAGUGAGUUUCGCCGGCUGCUCGAUAACGGUUUGUUUACGAUAAUAAGAGGCCGUAGUGGCUGUUAAGCCACGGUUGGA
rnacentral:sRNA from 1 species